UUUGGUUAAGUUAGAAAGGGCGCACGGUGGAUGCCUUGACACUAGGAGUCGAUGAAGGACGGGACUAACGCCGAUAUGCUUCGGGGAGCUGUAAGUAAGCUUUGAUCCGAAGAUUUCCGAAUGGGGAAACCCACCAUACGUAAUGGUAUGGUAUCCUUACCUGAAUACAUAGGGUAAGGAAGACAGACCCAGGGAACUGAAACAUCUAAGUACCUGGAGGAAGAGAAAGCAAAUGCGAUUUCCUGAGUAGCGGCGAGCGAAACGGAACAUAGCCCAAACCAAGAGGCUUGCCUCUUGGGGUUGUAGGACAUUCUAUACGGAGUUACAAAGGAACGAGGUAGACGAAGCGACCUGGAAAGGUCCGUCGUAGAGGGUAACAACCCCGUAGUCGAAACUUCGUUCUCUCUUGAAUGUAUCCUGAGUACGGCGGAACACGUGAAAUUCCGUCGGAAUCUGGGAGGACCAUCUCCCAAGGCUAAAUACUCCCUAGUGAUCGAUAGUGAACCAGUACCGUGAGGGAAAGGUGAAAAGCACCCCGGAAGGGGAGUGAAAGAGAUCCUGAAACCGUGUGCCUACAAAUAGUCAGAGCCCGUUAACGGGUGAUGGCGUGCCUUUUGUAGAAUGAACCGGCGAGUUACGAUCCCGUGCGAGGUUAAGCUGAAGAGGCGGAGCCGCAGCGAAAGCGAGUCUGAAUAGGGCGUUUAGUACGUGGUCGUAGACCCGAAACCAGGUGAUCUACCCAUGUCCAGGGUGAAGUUCAGGUAACACUGAAUGGAGGCCCGAACCCACGCACGUUGAAAAGUGCGGGGAUGAGGUGUGGGUAGCGGAGAAAUUCCAAUCGAACCUGGAGAUAGCUGGUUCUCCCCGAAAUAGCUUUAGGGCUAGCCUUAAGUGUAAGAGUCUUGGAGGUAGAGCACUGAUUGGACUAGGGGUCCUCAUCGGAUUACCGAAUUCAGUCAAACUCCGAAUGCCAAUGACUUAUCCUUAGGAGUCAGACUGCGAGUGAUAAGAUCCGUAGUCAAAAGGGAAACAGCCCAGACCGCCAGCUAAGGUCCCAAAGUGUGUAUUAAGUGGAAAAGGAUGUGGAGUUGCUUAGACAACUAGGAUGUUGGCUUAGAAGCAGCCACCAUUUAAAGAGUGCGUAAUAGCUCACUAGUCGAGUGACUCUGCGCCGAAAAUGUACCGGGGCUAAAUACACCACCGAAGCUGCGGAUUGAUACCGAAUGGUAUCAGUGGUAGGGGAGCGUUCUAAGGACAGUGAAGUCAGACCGGAAGGACUGGUGGAGUGCUUAGAAGUGAGAAUGCCGGUAUGAGUAGCGAAAGACGGGUGAGAAUCCCGUCCACCGAAUGCCUAAGGUUUCCUGAGGAAGGCUCGUCCGCUCAGGGUUAGUCAGGACCUAAGCCGAGGCCGACAGGCGUAGGCGAUGGACAACAGGUUGAUAUUCCUGUACCACCUCUUUAUCGUUUGAGCAAUGGAGGGACGCAGAAGGAUAGAAGAAGCGUGCGAUUGGUUGUGCACGUCCAAGCAGUUAGGCUGAUAAGUAGGCAAAUCCGCUUAUCGUGAAGGCUGAGCUGUGAUGGGGAAGCUCCUUAUGGAGCGAAGUCUUUGAUUCCCCGCUGCCAAGAAAAGCUUCUAGCGAGAUAAAAGGUGCCUGUACCGCAAACCGACACAGGUAGGCGAGGAGAGAAUCCUAAGGUGUGCGAGAGAACUCUGGUUAAGGAACUCGGCAAAAUGACCCCGUAACUUCGGGAGAAGGGGUGCUUUCUUAACGGAAAGCCGCAGUGAAUAGGCCCAAGCGACUGUUUAGCAAAAACACAGCUCUCUGCGAAGCCGUAAGGCGAAGUAUAGGGGGUGACACCUGCCCGGUGCUGGAAGGUUAAGGAGAGGGGUUAGCGUAAGCGAAGCUCUGAACUGAAGCCCCAGUAAACGGCGGCCGUAACUAUAACGGUCCUAAGGUAGCGAAAUUCCUUGUCGGGUAAGUUCCGACCCGCACGAAAGGUGUAACGAUUUGGGCACUGUCUCAACCAGAGACUCGGUGAAAUUAUAGUACCUGUGAAGAUGCAGGUUACCCGCGACAGGACGGAAAGACCCCGUGGAGCUUUACUGUAGCCUGAUAUUGAAUUUUGGUACAGUUUGUACAGGAUAGGCGGGAGCCUUUGAAACCGGAGCGCUAGCUUCGGUGGAGGCGCUGGUGGGAUACCGCCCUGACUGUAUUGAAAUUCUAACCUACGGGUCUUAUCGACCCGGGAGACAGUGUCAGGUGGGCAGUUUGACUGGGGCGGUCGCCUCCUAAAGUGUAACGGAGGCGCCCAAAGGUUCCCUCAGAAUGGUUGGAAAUCAUUCGUAGAGUGCAAAGGCAUAAGGGAGCUUGACUGCGAGACCUACAAGUCGAGCAGGGACGAAAGUCGGGCUUAGUGAUCCGGUGGUUCCGCAUGGAAGGGCCAUCGCUCAACGGAUAAAAGCUACCCCGGGGAUAACAGGCUUAUCUCCCCCAAGAGUCCACAUCGACGGGGAGGUUUGGCACCUCGAUGUCGGCUCAUCGCAUCCUGGGGCUGUAGUCGGUCCCAAGGGUUGGGCUGUUCGCCCAUUAAAGCGGUACGCGAGCUGGGUUCAGAACGUCGUGAGACAGUUCGGUCCCUAUCCGUCGUGGGCGUAGGAAAUUUGAGAGGAGCUGUCCUUAGUACGAGAGGACCGGGAUGGACGCACCGCUGGUGUACCAGUUGUUCUGCCAAGGGCAUAGCUGGGUAGCUAUGUGCGGAAGGGAUAAGUGCUGAAAGCAUCUAAGCAUGAAGCCCCCCUCAAGAUGAGAUUUCCCAUAGCGUAAGCUAGUAAGAUCCCUGAAAGAUGAUCAGGUUGAUAGGUUCGAGGUGGAAGCAUGGUGACAUGUGGAGCUGACGAAUACUAAUAGAUCGAGGGCUUAACCAUAUAA
rnacentral:rRNA from 1 species